GAUGAACGCUGGCGGCGUGCUUAACACAUGCAAGUCGAACGAUGAAGCCCAGCUUGCUGGGUGGAUUAGUGGCGAACGGGUGAGUAACACGUGAGUAACCUGCCCUUGACUCUGGGAUAAGCCUGGGAAACUGGGUCUAAUACUGGAUAUGACUUCUCAUCGCAUGGUGGGGGGUGGAAAGAUUUAUUGGUCUUGGAUGGACUCGCGGCCUAUCAGCUUGUUGGUGAGGUAAUGGCUCACCAAGGCGACGACGGGUAGCCGGCCUGGGAGGGUGACCGGCCACACUGGGACUGAGACACGGCCCAGACUCCUACGGGAGGCAGCAGUGGGGAAUAUUGCACAAUGGGCGCAGGCCUGAUGCAGCGACGCCGCGUGAGGGAUGACGGCCUUCGGGUUGUAAACCUCUUUCAGUAGGGAAGAAGCGAGAGUGACGGUACCUGCAGAAGAAGCGCCGGCUAACUACGUG
rnacentral:rRNA from 1 species